ACUAAUACGUUCUGUAUGGCUGUGUAUAUUGUUUUAUGCAUGUCAAUGGAUUUAAAUUUGUAACUUAAUCUUUAUUUUUUUUUAUAGUAUUUUUACGAUCUUUCUCAUCUAUUUUUGCAUUUGAAAUCAUCGAAGCCUUGGCGUUCCUGGCCAGUAGAAGGAAAGGACAGCAACUCUUGACAGUGACCAAGAAUGAAUGAGAGCCUUGGCGUUCCUGGCCAGUAGAAGGAAAGGACAGCAACUCUUGACAGUGACCAAGAAUGAAUGAGAGCCUUGGCGUUCCUGGCCAGUAGAAGGAAAGGACAGCAACUCUUGACAGUGACCAAGAAUGAAUGAGAGGUGGGAUGUAUUUCCUUUCUUUAUCUUUUGUAUUUUUGCUUUCUUUUGUGUUGUCCAUCUAGUUCUGAUUGUAUGUUUAAUGACCUGUAUCUAUUUUGGGGGCUAUUUUUCAGAAUCUUUCUUAAAUUGAUUUUCUACAAGGACUGAGAAGACCCAAGCGUAUAUCAUUAAAGGAAGUAAAAACUGAAAU